CCCUUAGAUGUCCUGGGCCGCACGCGCGCUACACUGAGUGUCUGAGAUACGAGUCUGCCUGGUCCGGCAAGGUCUAGGUAAUCGCUAAAAGACACAUCAUGCUUGGGAUAGAUUAUUGCAAAUAUUAAUCUUGCACGAGGAAUUCCUAGUAAGCGCAAGUCAACAGCUUGCGUUGAUUACGUCCCUGCCCUUUGUGCACACCGCCCGUCGCUACUACUGAUUGGAUGUUUAAGCGAGGUUCUCGAACUGCUAGCGACUUAGCUUCGGUGAGGUCGCAGUGUGGGGAGUGAACCUAGCUUUGGUGUCUAGAGGAAGUAAAAGUCGUAACA
rnacentral:rRNA from 1 species